GGGGGUAUAGCUCAGUGGUAGAGCAUUUGACUGCAGAUCAAGAGGUCCCUGGUUCAAAUCCGGGGGAGUCUGCACCCU